rnacentral:lncRNA from 1 species
GCCUUCAGAGCCUGGGAAGGCCGAUCUGGGGCUGGAGCCCUGCCAGGGGCCGGCAGCCAGACCCCCCGGGUCUGGUCUGGUGUCCUUGCUGCCAGUGCUGGAGGCUGGAAGUCCACGGUCAACACACCUGGAGAGCUCUCUUCCUGGUUCACGGACGGCACCUUCUGGCUGCGUCCUCACAUGGUGGAAGGGGCGAGGGGGCUCUCUGGGGUCUGUUUCAUUAGGGCGCUGAUCCCAUUCAUGGGGCCUCCACCCUCAUGACCUCAUCACCUCCCAAAGGUCCCGCCAACAAAUACCGUGUGUCUGAGGGUUAGGAUUUCAACACACGAGCUUUGUGGGGGCACAACACUCAGACCACCCAGGAUGUGUAUGCAGGUGGCAUAGCAGGGGCUGGAGGGUGGUCUGUCCAGUCCUACCGUGCAGCCGUCACCCACCUACCCAGCACGAGGCCCGCAGAGUGGGACCCUGCACCCGGACACACCCCCCGCGGCGGUGGGGGAGACCGCCCGGGCACAACAGAGCUCAAGAAUGACCCUAAGCGUGUGAAGAUAGACCUGCCCUACCCAGGACGGUCGCCACGAACUGCAUGUGGCUAUCGGGUGCUUGAAAUGUGCUGGUCCAAAUUGAGAUCUCCCAGGUAUGGACCCCAAAGAAUCGAAAACAGGUGUUCAGAUAAAUUCUCGUGCACGCAUGUACAUAGCAGCAUUAUUCACAAGAGCCCAAAGGUAGAAACAUCCCAGAUGCCCAUCAACAGAUGAACAGAUGAAGAAAACGUGGUGUACAUAUGCAGCGAAAUACGCUCCAGCCAUAAAAGGGAAGGAAGCCCGGAUACAGGCUGCAGCGUGGACGGACCUUGGAAACAUUAUGCUCAGCAAAGGAAACCAGUCUCAGAAGGCCACACAGUGUGUGACCCCAUUUAUGUGAACUGCCCAGAACGGGCAGAUGCAUCAAGACAGAAGCAGACCAGUGGGC